ensembl:miRNA gmo-mir-26a-2 gmo-mir-26a-2
UUCAAGUAAUCCAGGAUAGGCUGUGUUGUCCUGGUUGGCCUAUUCACGAUUACUUGCCCCU